GUAGGUGAACCUGCGGAAGGAUCAUUACAGAGUUCAUGCCCUUCGGGGUAGAUCUCCCACCCGUGUGUAUCAUUAUCGACUGUUGCUUUGGCGGGCCGCGUGCCUCGCACGCCUGGACCUCGGUCCGGCGCGCCCGCCAGAGGACCCCCAAACUCUGAAUGUUAGUGUCGUCUGAGUACUAUUAAAUAGUUAAAACUUUCAACAACGGAUCUCUUGGUUCUG
rnacentral:misc_RNA from 1 species